AUAUGCCACGCUUCUAGGCAAAGUCUUUGACAAUAGCGAUUAUUUGUGAUAAUUACUUUAGAAGGAAUUACUUUUCUAAAGUAAUUACCACAAACAAUCGCUAUGGUCAAAGACUUUGCCUAGAAGCGUGGCAUAUAAAUAUGU
rnacentral:miRNA from 1 species